UACGUAGGGUGCGAGCGUUAAUCGGAAUUACUGGGCGUAAAGCGUGCGCAGGCGGUUUUGUAAGCCAGAUGUGAAAUCCCCGGGCUUAACCUGGGAAUGGCGAUGGAUACUGGGAGGCUAGAGUGUGAUAGAGGAUGGUGGAAUUCCCGGUGUAGCGGUGAAAUGCGUAGAGAUCGGGAGGAUUUUCUGAGGAUACGGCGGCCACCUGGAUCUACACUGACGCUGAGGCACGAAAGCGUGGGGAGCAAACAGG
rnacentral:rRNA from 1 species